rnacentral:rRNA from 1 species
ACUACACUCCUGCGGGAGGCAGCAGUGGGGAAUAUUGCACAAUGGGCGCAAGCCUGAUGCAGCCAUGCCGCGUGUAUGAAGAAGGCCUUCGGGUUGUAAAGUACUUUAAGCGGGGAGGAAGGCGAUAAGGUUAAUAACCUUGUUGAUUGACGUUACCCGCAGAAGAAGCACCGGCUAACUCCGUGCCAGCAGCCGCGGUAAUACGGAGGGUGCAAGCGUUAAUCGGAAUUACUGGGCGUAAAGCGCACGCAGGCGGUCUGUCAAGUCGGAUGUGAAAUCCCCGGGCUCAACCUGGGAACUGCAUUCGAAACUGGCAGGCUAGAGUCUUGUAGAGGGGGGUAGAAUUCCAGGUGUAGCGGUGAAAUGCGUAGAGAUCUGGAGGAAUACCGGUGGCGAAGGCGGCCCCCUGGACAAAGACUGACGCUCAGGUGCGAAAGCGUGGGGAGCAAACAGGAUUAGAAACCCCAGUAGUCCCAUGA